UCUACUCUUCCUCCAAAUGCCCCUAUGGUGGGUGUCUUCUUUACUUUUUUUUGAGAUGUCGUUCCUGCAGCUUUCUUCAUGGCAGUUGACGCGGCCACGCGCGCCGGCGUCCAUCGCCGAUUGUCUUUCUCCUGUGCUCGACACCAUGCCCUUGCAGUUCUAACGCGCGUCUCACCCCGUUUCGAACCUGAGAUGCCUCUUCGUUCGACCCUCCCUUGACGGCGAAGUAGAUUCGACAGAGCCGAUCGUGACCUAGAGAGAGAAAUCGUAGUUAGUCGACAGCGCUUGAUCCUCCUUUUAUGUCGCAGGAUCGGCGUCCCCUCUUCUUUCGUGCUUACCCAGCAAGGUACGUGAACAACGUCUCUGCACCAACAGGCUGUAGAGAUUAGAUUCUGAACUACAACAUCUGAUUUUAUGUUUGAUCUAUUGAUAAUUUCAGCUGGCUUGAUAAUCUCCAGGGAGGAUGAAGUUGUUGAUUUGUUGUGCUGAUGCGUGAUGAGCAUCUCGGGAGGAUGUAGUUGGAACAGUCGGUGUACUGUUUCGUAUGCAGAUUCCUUGACUUUGUUCCUCAAUCCUGGAGGGGCGAGGUUUGAGUAAUUUGUCUUCUUAUGAUGAAUAAGAUCAGAAGCUUAACUUGGAACAUUGGAAUUCAUGUAUUAUGCAUAGUUUUUUUACAUGCGUUAGCUUUAUUGGUUAUAUACGAAUUUACUUUCAGAUUAUGUGAGCUCAUUUUCUUUAUGAAAUUGUUCCUUGAAUUACCUUGAUACUUUAGCAAUCUCCAUGGGAUCAGUUUUAUAAGUUCAGUUUGGUGCUACUAUUUGUUAGCUAUUUGAUCAAAUGCUCAUGUACUUUAAAG
rnacentral:lncRNA from 1 species